rnacentral:rRNA from 1 species
UUUUUAAUAUAUUUUUGCUCCACGCGAGAAAGAUGCGUACGUGCACAUCGUAUGCAAAAGUUAUAGCCGUUUUACUUUUUCAUAACACUUUUUUGCAAAACAUGUCAAAAUUUAUGUUUUUGAAUUUUCCUAACUAAUAGAUGUAGUAACAUAAAUACAUCUCGAAGGAUUUUAAUUUUUGAAGUUUUUAUCAUUUCUUUUCUUUUUUCAAAACUAAAAUGGCGAUAGGGGGGGGGCAGCAUAAUGGACGAAGGCGGGGGUAACAUGUCGGAUGCGAUCAUACCAGCACUAAAGCACCGGAUCCCAUCAGAACUCCGAAGUUAAGCGUGCUUGGGCGAGAGUAGUACUAGGAUGGGUGACCUCCUGGGAAGUCCUCGUGUUGCAUUCCC